rnacentral:lncRNA from 1 species
CGUCGCAUCCCUCUGUUUUUUACGUUGGGGAAUCCACCUUUCAUUAUGCUGAUUUUUUUGCCAAGUCAAAAAGGAGUAGAACGCGUGCAUUUAGUGCAAUGUACUUACCAGCAUGUGUCGAGACGCACCAUCGUAAUGCCCGUGACACUUUCUUUAGGGAAAGGGAUGGUAGAACAGCAAAAGAUCUGUACCUUUGUUGAAAAAUGCGACGGGACCGCGAGCUUCAGUAGCAUUCGGAGUAUAGUGACAGCUGUAGAUAGAUUAAUGUCGGAGGUUAGUGAAUAAUUAUUUACGGAGGGAUGGGUUCGAGCUUUUACUGUGUCUCGGGAGUAGCGACACAAUGCAGGUUUGUCGGUACAAGCGUUUCGUCGGUUUGAAAGGGGUACGAGGUUAGUGGGAUUUAACGACUCUAGAUUAACUUAAUUAAGCGGUUUUUCUGUGGGGAAGGGUGAUAUGAUCAUGCUGCAUGUUGGUUGGUUGGAUUCUGGCAGCGUUUCUUUAAUGCCUGCUCUGUCAGACCGUCGGCGGAGUUCCCGUCCUCAAGUCAGUUCAGUUCGCUAAAACGCCCCUCUUCCUUACCCACAUUUACCACCUCGUCUGCCUUAUCCAAUGCCUUCUUUUGGACCACCCACCCUUCGUUCGUGUUCGUUCGUGUCUCUUUCGUUGUUUUUGUCCCUUCAAUUUGGUAAAUGGCUGCAAAAACUGAGAGCCCAUGUUUUCAUUUGACGUAGUAUAGAUCCAAGCCAAACGACUCUUAUUAUAUUGCAACUUUUCUCCGUCGAAUAUUCAAAGUCUGAAAUCUCUGCCUCAAUAUAAAAAAAGUCCUCCCCUUUUGGUAUCGAAAGGAAUCAAAGUUCAGAUUAGUGUUCUCACCAAUAAAUGGACUUAUACGAAGACCAUAAUGCAUGUCAGUGUGGUUUGACCGUACAGUCAAAACGACAAGCGCUGCGGCUGUGCCAGAUUUUGCGCGAAAUGAGUGGCGCGAUUUGUGGACUAGUGCGAGCAAAGUAAAAAAGUUAAAAAAAAAAAAAAAAAAGGAAAGGAAAAGCUGGGUUCCAUCGAACGACUGAAAUGCCCCGUGCUGUCUCUGACGUGAAUUUGCGCGCAGGGUGCCGUGCCGGAAGCGAGGCGGGAUGAGGUUCACCAUCAACGGGUUCCGGUACUUCAACCUGGUGCUGAUCUCGAACGUGGCGGGGGCCGGGGACAUCGUGCGGGUGAGCGUGAAGGGGGCGAGGACCGGGUGGAUGAGCAUGAGCCGCAACUGGGGCCAGAACUGGCAGUCCAACGCCGUGCUGGCCGGCCAGGCGCUCUCCUUCCGCGUCACCGCCAGCGACCGGCGCUCCUCCACCUCCUGGAACAUGGUCCCCGCCGGCUGGCAGUUCGGCCAGACCUUCACCGGCAAGAACUUCAGGGUCUGAGGAGCGAAGCCUCUUUUAAUUCACCGUUUUGUCCUCGCCGCGCCAUUUUCCCACUCUCCAGAAUGCCCUGUUCCUUUUCAUUUUCUCGUUUUGCUGUUUUAACUCGUAAGGUGUUGGGGAAUGUGAAAGUGAACGGAGCGUCAGACUUCUUUUUUGACUUUUUGAUUGGUGGGUCUUUUUUUUCCGUUUUCUGCUUUCCAUUUUCUUUUCUUUUUUGGGGGUGAAGUGUUGAGUGGGGGGGAUUGUUUGGUUAGUAGGGAAGGAGGAAUGUUAGAAGACAUCCUAGGGCUGAGGAGGCGUCUGCAAAAGCACGUGGCCCGCAGCUGAUAUGGCACCUAUGAAGCACUAGUAGUAGACCAGUAACAUUAUGCUCGAGCAAGUUUGAGUAUGUGUAUCUAUAAUUUAUUAUAUAUAUAUAUAUAUAUGUAUGUGACACGUUAUAUUUCUCUUACAUUAUGUAACCAGCAAGUGUAAUGUAGUCGAAUCUAUAGCUGAAUUUGGAAUGGAAUUUGUGUUUGCCUCGUCAUCCUCCUCCACGAACGUCCUUUCAGUGCUCUUUUCCUUUGUUUUGCUGUCUAAUGCUGCAAUGUCUGUCCCAUCCCAGGUGUUCGCACACCUUCGAUGCAACUUAGUCGAAUGGAGAAGUCGAAUUAGAAAUUACUAAGAGUGUUCUUGUAUAUUACACUACAAAUGAGGAUGGAUAUGGGAAAAAUACUUGGUCUUCAGAGAUUUAGAGCACUGGAAAGGAUAUGGAGUUAAUAAAAGAAUGGGGGAUCCUAAAAUUAUUUCUUCAAGAAUUAUUGCUUGUUAUAAUUAUUUUUUCAUGAAAAAGUUCCAAAGGGGUCACAUCAGGAGGAGGACCAAAAAACAUCUAUGGGGGAACCAAAGCUGCACGUGGGUGGGGCCGGGGUCGCUCCCUAAAUGCUUUUCUUCGCAUGUGAAAAUGUCCCUAUUUUCUUCCGUAUUCUCCUCUCCUCUAUUCUCCUCUCUUUUCUCUCCGUUCAAAAAGAGACAGACCAUCUUCGGAUUCCAAGCAUCGGAUGCCCCCCCCGCCCAACUCCCCGUACCCCUUUUCAACUUUUCCCACUAUUUCCCCCGCGCCUCUUCUUUUUUUCCCCUAUCAUUGCGGUAGAUUUGGUUUGGCGAACCAACCGAAUCCAGCUUUCAUGCCCCAACUCAAAGACGCACCAACUAAUUCGGGACGAGGGAACGGACGAGUUGGAGACAAAAACCUCUGUUGCCCGCUCCCCGUACCGUGUAAACGAAUUUCAUAAUCCCCGUCCAUUCCAACUAUAUCUAGGACAAGACACCUUGUUGGCCUGACGUGCUUAAUGGGAGCUAUAAGGCAGGGGGUAACGAUAAGGAGAACAAGAUCCACUCUAGAAAUAUUUUUAUGAUUUUUUUAUUUUUUAUUUAUUUUCUUUCUUGUUUCUUUUUUACAAAGGAUUGGCUCCAUUGGCCCUUGGACGAGGGCGAGGGCUGUGAAGCCCUCGUUGCCCACAAGCAAAGCCCUAGCUUAAUCUAGCAGGGGCAUCAUGAGCCAUCACCUAGGUCGUUGCGACUCAUAGUGAGCGCAUAGCAGCCCUUGCUCCCCUUUGCUAUGAUCGGCAAGGGCCGCGACACUCUCGCCUUAUAGGAUUUGUCAAAGGCUUGAGGGCCGAGGGGUCAACGGGGGUCAUCGACCCACACCUAAGGGCCAGCAAGGUUAUUGGCCCUUGCUCAAUGGCCAACCGCUCGCCCAGCCCUUUGUGAUAAAGGAAAAGGCAAACAUUGUAAAUAUUAAAAAAAAUGUCUAUAUCGGGUCGGUUAUGUCAUGUGGACUGAGUAGUAUCAAUACCAAUAUACAACACGAUACGACACGUCAGUACGUCAUUUCUUAAAAAAUAGAGAAUUCUAACAAACUAUAUAUUAAAUAUGUAUUUUUCGCAUACACGAGAAAUUAUCAUUUUUAUGAUUAUUUUAACCAAAUUAAUUUGAUUUAAAUUCACAAAUAAAUAAAUAAUAACAAAUAGUCAAAAAUAAAUGUACACGAAAAAUAUUUAUCCACAAAUUGUUAAUAUUAUUAAUUAUUUUAAUUUGACAAAGUCAACUCCAUUCCAGUAAUCCAUAAAAUUUGGAGUAAAAAACAAACAAAUAAUCCACAUUAUGGACUUGUGUAUCUGAAUGUGUCGAAGAGAAGAAAAAACAAUUUCGUAAGGUAAAUUGUGUACCACGGGAAGCGAGAGUGAGAAGAUAAAAGAAAAGAAGAUUAGGUUUUUGUCCCUUCCUUCUUUAUUAUUAUAUUUAUUUAUUUGUACAUAUUUUCAUUUUGACAAUUCAUUUAUUGAAAUUUUUUAAAAUUGAUCUCUCAUUUAUUUUGGAAUCGUGUGUCGGAAUUCUGAAUUUACAAAUUAGAAUUCUGGACUCGCAUAUCGUAAAGUAUCAAGAGAGUUGAUCAGUCGUUGAAAAUUUGACACCCGUUAACCCAGUGUUGAAGUGUCCAACACAACACAAAAGUUUCCGGAGAGCGCCGAUACUUCUCACUAUGUAAAACAACCAACACUGUCACAUUGGCAAUAUCUAGCAAAAAUUAGUUAGAAUCGUUAAAAGAAUUAUGAUAAAAUUAGAAAAAUUGAAAGAUUUAAGACUAAAUUAGCAAAUUGAUUGCCAUAGAUAAGUUUACUACUUUUUUAACAAUUUUCCCUGCAAAUACCUACAGCCAUUCUUUUCAUUUGCUCGGUAACAUUGCAUAUAUUCCAACCACAACACCGACAAAUACACUCUCGGUAGCUCGAGUCUUAUAAUGUUCUUGGAAGAUGCGCCCCAGUUGAUUUUAUUCUCGCUCCAACUUCUUCAAGAGGAGGAAAUCAUUUUUGUAUCUCUUCUUCGGCACAGCACCACCAGCAACCCACGCAUCGGCAUGUUCGGAGCAGAAUUGACGAAUACUCUUGUCGCUACUCGAUAGUUCCUGUCAAUUUUGUCUUCCCACCCUUCUUAAUAGCCUGAUUCCUGGCCAUCCUGAUAGGGUGCCCAUAUCACGCUACCAGACAUGGGAAAAUUCCUGCACGCCAUUUAGUGGAUUUGCCUGUAUCAGCAUGUAGGAGUUCCAUUUCAUCCACUCGCGGAUGGGGUUCAUUCCCUCCAUCUUCCAAAUCUAUCGGCCAAGACGAAUUCCUCCAUAAAAUUUUAGAAACACGACAACCCAAGAUGAGUAGGAUUUUGAGGAUUCCCAAGCAGAGCUACGCAGGCCACACUCAGUUUUCACAAUCCCACACCUUGCGAUCUACCAAGAUGAGCGUUAUCCGAAAACCCAUAGCCAGAAGCCACUCAUUUCUAGACAACUUCUUCAGAUCGUUUCGAAUAGAUACGACACAAAAACUAAGAGAACACAGCAAUACCGUCACCCACUGAGAAUUUUCUUGUGGGUUUGCACAUAGCAAAGGAUGCAGCUAUGGUCGUCUAUGAAAGAAUCAAAUUGUAAAUACAUCUCAUAAAUACUCCAUGAGAGCUCCUGUCAAAAGUCAAAGGAAAGUUUGAUUUUUUUCCCUUUAGUCUAAUUGAACGGAAGAGCAAGUACGCCUAUUUUGAAUCGCCUAAUUCUACUUCGAGAAUCUACACUCAGUCAGCUUUAGAAAUCAAGUAUCUGGACUCAACAACUGCAUCCUGAGAUGUGUAUCCGCAACAAGUAGGAGGAUGAAGAUGCCAGACUGCCCACCUGAGUACAUUAAGAGUCUACAUCCAGCAAAAGCACCGUUAAAAUGGACCGCAUGUUCAAAACAAUGCCUAUAAAAAUGUGUGCUUGCAGUACACAUAAGCUAAGCAAGCUAAACAUCAUGUUAAACAGGCACGUAAACCAUCAAUCAGUGUUUCAUUAAUUCUCCAAAAGAGUGUCCAGCUUUAGUGGGGUUCCCCCGGGGGGGGGGGGGGGGGGAAGUAAUAUUAAAAAAUAUCGCACUGCUUUGACAUCUGAAUGAACUUACGUUCGCCAAAGGGUUAAUUGUGGCAAUCUGGUGAAUAGCCCCCCCACACCAUCUCCUUCUUUUUAACUUUUUGUAUUAUAGCUCUUUCAUGCAUAUCAGGUGAACAACUUUCAAUGUACACUCAAGCUGCAGAUGCUUCGUGAACACCCGUUUCUCUUCAUUGCUACAAAAAAAUUCAUACCUCUAAUUCUUCUUCUUCUGGGGUUUCCACAGCUUGAGAAGGUAAGCAACUCCCUCUUUGAGAGAUGCUUUUCUUCCUUCUCUAGGAUGCCAUAGCUCGGGCACAGUGUACCUGCCACUGCCAUUGUACUCAUUCAGCUCUUCGAGGGCCUUUGAUACUGCCUUGAAGACCUCUUCACCAUAAUCAUUCUUAAGGGCUUUUAGCUUUUCAUCUUCUUCAUCAAUAAUUUCCUAUGAAGCCAAAUGACGAAGAGACUUUGAGAAGUAGGAGAGACACCGAUAUGGACAGAAAAGGCUUCUACACCACGAUAUGUAAAAAUCGUGCUGGGUUAACAAGGAUUUACAUGUCAUGGCUGGCUAUCAUGAAACAGGCACACUACAAAAUGCAUCAGCAUACUUUCGUUUGUGAAAUAACAGUGCUUGCCUUGAACCAUGACAUCAAACUAACCAUACUGAAAUGCAAACACGAAGUAGUAGAGGCUUCUAUUCAUUGCAACUCUUCUGUUGGGUGACAAAUGAUCAUUCUUGGCAUGUGAAAUUAGGUUGAUCGGAAAAGUUGCAUGAACUCUUCAGAAUUUCGAAUGAAACCUCCUAAAGAACAUGGCUUCCAUUAAUGUACUAAAAUGCAGAAGAAUGUUAACUAACAUAAACUUGCUAUAAAUAUGGGUAGCAAUGUUAUGUAAGAGAUAUGCUGGUAAUGUUAGUUGCGCAUAAAGUAUACCUUGCGAUUCUCUCCCUCUGUUAUGCCUUUAAAGGGGUACCAUCCGGGAUCUCUUAGAAGUUUUUCCCACUCAGAACAGAGCGUCACGGCCAUUAGAUUUGCUUCUUUCGCAGCAUAUAUUUUUUUUUGCUGCAAUGAGGAACGGCUUGCUGUCAAGUUCUCCCAUUCUUUUGACGCAAAUUUGGGCACCAGUUGUAUUUUCCUUGAAAGUCUGUAGAGCAACGGCAUUAUCAUUUCUGACAGCUCAAAAUCCAUUAUCAGAUCAAAAGGUUGACAUUUUUGGAAACAGGCAAUCGAUGCGUAUUACAUUAACUUUCAAACUGUUUACAUGUCAAGCGCAGUAAGUUAUGCCUUGACGUGAUAACAAAUGCACACAAAAGGGUCUAAGAUAAGGAAACAAAGCAAUUACUUUAAUCAGCUCCUUGCAAGCAUCCUGCAAUUCAUCAUUGUUCCUCCAAUGCUUAACAGUAAGCACUCGACUCAGUUCUUCCUUUGCCUCUAAACUUUCCUCAAUCUCCUUCAUCUUCUGUUUAAGGUCCACGUCGUCGUCAUCCUCCAUGUUUUUCAUAACUUGCACAGCACCUCUCAAUCGCUCAAUGUCCAAUUCCAACGAUUGUUUAUCAUCGAGUUCUCUUUCGAGCUCAAUAUUUUCCCGUGAAGUUUCUCCUUUUCUCUCUGCCAUUAAUAGCAAUGUGGAAGUUUAGAAACUAUUGAGCCAAUAAAGAUCUAGCUAUUGCCUAAGCUCAAAAGAAAAAAAAAAUGCAGAAAUAAAGAAAGCAAACAAGCACCUUCUGAUCUUCUCCCAGCCUCAAGAAAUUAUUGUUUCCUUUCCGCUGCUCCAAAAAUUUCCUUUCAACCUGAAACCAGUUAAACUUGAGUUCUUCUGUGGCAGCGCCAAAAGAUUUAGUUCUCCAUUCCUUCUAGUGGGGUUGGUUGAAUGGGGUUGGUUGUGUUUUCUUUUUUUCCUUUUAUUUCCUGGUUCCCAUUUGUAGACAUCACAGGUUAUAAUAGCCUUUGAUGGUUAAUUUCCCACUUCCCUUACCAAUCUAGUCAAUAACAAGUACUUUCUGGAAUUUUCGAAGCAUUCAGUUUUUUGUCUGAUACACAAAAGGAAUGCUUAUAACGGAGGUAACUUCGUUAUGUGUCGUUCAAUGUUUAGACAUGAUGAGAUCUUAUUCCUCGAUAUUUAUGGUCAAAUAUCAACUGCACUGAUCCUUUCUGAAGUCUAUGCUCGAGCUGAAGAUGGAUUAAGAAUAUAUAGAUGAAACUUCAUACCAUUUCCUUAUCAUGUCUAAGCUUUGCCCUCUUGCCUUCAUUUUGAAAUUCUCGCAAUUCCAACUCUUCUUCCUGCUGCCGAAGCUCGUGCUUUUGAGCUUGCAAAUGCUGUGUCACCUUGUCAUGCUCCAGGUAUAUCUUCGCAAGAUGAUCCCGGGCAUUCUGCUGCAUCUUUUCUUAUUUCUAGCAAAAAGGAAAAGAAAGAGUCAGUUCACAAGUCAAUUUCGUUGCCAGUACUCAUUUCCCAAAAAACACAUCACACCUUCAUUAUGAGCCCUCAGCAUUUCAUCCUUUUGAGUCACUAAAUUGUCGAGGGAAUGCUUUGUUUUUUCGUACUUGCUUUCCAUCUCCAUAAGUCGCGAGCUCUCGAUCUCCAGCGUCUUCUGUAAGUCAGCAACAAGCAUUGACCGUUGGCGUUGUUCUUCUGCCUCUUUAUCGGACAAAGUUCGCAAGUGCCCUUUCUUUCUAAGGUGGUCUCCCAGUAUGCCUUUCGAAUAGUAAUCAUCAUCAUAUGCCAACCAACCAAAAAACUUGUCUCCCCUGUCCCUGGAGAUAUAAAAGUCCCUCUUCCCACGGCGCUCAAUCUCAUAGCUUUUCUCAAAAGCAAUCGCAUUACAGAAGCCCACCCAGUCUUAUUAAACUCAACAACUGCUAGUCCCGAAUGACCACGGUAGUUCCAUAGGGCCUGCACCCUCACAGGGUGGAAUCCUUUGUUUUCCAACUCCUGCCUGAUUUUGGUACCACUCUCCCAACAUGUCUUCCAUCCUUAACUUCAGUCUUGAUGUUCGCAAUUACACCCAUCCACGGCCAGACAAACUACUGAUUAUUCUUUGCUAAAGAGAGUGUUAUUGUUGAUCAUUCUUAGCUGAAGAUAGUCUUAACUGCUCAUCGUUCUUAGCUGAAGAUAGUCUUGCUGAAGAGAGUCUUAUGUUGGAAGAAUUUUCGGCAUUAACCUACCUAGAGAAGUAUUUUCUUAUGUAUCUCUCCAAUGCCAAGUGCUUGGCAAUCUCCUUAGUACUUGUCCCUUUUAAAUCUUUUGAUAUGCAUGAGGCGUGCUUUAAAAGGUCCUCGAAGAGAUAAUCACGUGCACUUCUGCAGUAUGGACACCUAUAAUGUGAAUCUGAAACUUUGAUCUUGAUAUAAUGUCCCUUCAAUUCUUGAUAAUAACGAUCUUCAUAUUCCUCCAGCUCAUAAGAAAAUACUUCUCUAGGAAAGUUAAUGCCGAAAAUUCUUCCAACAUAAGACUCUCUUCAGCUAAGGACAAUCAACAGUUAAGACUAUCUUCAGCUAAGAACGAUCAGCAGUUAACACUCUCUUCAGCAAAGAACGAUUAGCAGUUUGUUUGUCUUCUUUGUGGAACAUUUUCAUUCCUACACAUGAAAGAGAGAAUGAAAAGACAAGAUCAAGAUGAGCAUCGUCUAAGAAAACAAGCCACUCAUUUCUAAAACUCUUGAAAUGAUUUCAAACAAAUAUGACACAACAACUAAAGGUGCGUUUGUUUCACGGAAAACGUAAUGUUUUUGGAAAAUAUUUUCGAGGAAAUCAUUUUCCAAGAAAAUGGUUAGUUUUCCUUUGUUUGGUGAUAUGCGACUGAAAAUAUUUUUUGAUGUUUGGAUUGCAGUUGAAAAAUGAUUGAAAAUGUAGAAGACGCUGAUGAAGAGGAAGAGGAGGGAGUGAAGCUAAUGGGAGCGCAGGAGGGGGCUAGGGUUGGAGGAGGCGGCGGUGACGAAAAGGAGGGGGUGAAGGAGAAGGAGAGAGGGGAGGAGGAGUUAGGGUUUAUGUUCAUACGCAAAAAAGGAAAAGAGAAAAUAAGAAAAAAGAAAGAAGAAAGAAAAUAAAAGAUAUAAUAAUAACAAAUUCAAAAUUUUUAAUUAGAAAUCCUUUUUAAUUAUAAUUUUUUCAUCAAGCAAGAACCUUAAAAUAUUUUGGAAAACAUUUUUUGAUUUUUUCGAAAAAAAAAUCGUUUUUCUGAAUUUAAGUUUUUGAAGGAAAAUAUUCUACGUUGACUUAUUUUCCUAAAUGAACUAAACACUGAAAAAUGAGGAAAACGUUUAACCGGAAAUUGACACAACGACUAAGAGAAGACAGCAAGAACAUCAUCCACUGAGGAUUUGCCUGUGGGAUUGCGCAAAGCAAACGUUUCAGUUAUGAUGAUCAAAGGAAAAAAUAUUGCCUUUUUCCUCUUUUGUCCGACCGAAGGGAACGGCAGGUAUGCCUACCUAGUUCAAAUGGCCUCAUUCUACAUGAGUUCAGUCAAAUUUAAAGACGAGUAUUGAAUACCCAACAACAACAACUGCACUGUGAGAUGCGCGUCCGCAAAAGUCGGAUGGCAAGCGUGCCUGACGUCCAGCUAAUAAUGCUUUCAACAGCACUUCCAAGUUGCAAGUUAUGAUUGACCGAACUAAUCAUUUAUCGGAGCUUACCUAUUAGAUAAUAUCUGCACCAGUAUUUUUUUAUGCUGAGAACGAUGCAAUAGCUCCCAAAUGAAUAACUUACCCUGUUUUCUUCCCCGGUAGAAAACAGAGAAACGAACAGCUCCUAUUUGCGCUCUGGUUAUUCCAUUUUCCCAUUACUGAUUACCCUGAUAAUGCAUAGAUGAAACUGGAAAUCCCUCAAGCAACACGACCGAUACAAGAAAGGACAAGUUCAGGCCAACUGUAACAAGGAAACUCGCACGGCCACCACAGGGAAAAAAAAAAAAAAAAAAAGCAAAAAAAAGGGCAUGGCGACGGCAGCAUUGUCCUAGUUUCUAGCUUUCUACAUUUCAUCCGGAUACAAACCGAUCGCCACCACGAGCCGGUAGUAAAAACGCUAAGCACGCUGUCAUCUGCAUUUCCGCUUCCUCUCCUUCUUUACGGAAUCAAACAGUGCACGCCAACCGAACACGAUCUUAAACCAAAAAAUCCAUCGACGGUAAUCCAUCUCACCUCGUUCGUCCAUAGCGUACGCAGGUACUCGCCACGCCGAGCGAACCGCGAAACCCUAGACCACCCCGGUACGCUGGAGCUGCAAUAGAUCGUUCGCCCCGGGGGGGUGGCGCCGCUGCUUGAAGAGAAGAGAACGAAGACGACGGAAGGACGAGGAACGACGUGAUGAGACGAAGGACGAAGGACGGAGGACGGAGGAGGAAGGAGGAAUAGCUCAGAAACGCAUCGCGCGAUCGUCGCUCUUGCCUGCGAUAGCCCCGGUACUGGACGUACCUGCGUUUAGUGCAAUGUACUUACCAGCAUGUGUCGAGACGCACCAUCGUAUGCCCGUGACACUUACUUAGGGACAGUGAUGGUAGAACAGCAUAAGAUCCGUACCUUUGUUGAAGAAUGCGACGGGAUCGCGAGCUUAAGUAGCAUUCGGAGUAUAGUGACAGCUGUAGAUAGAUCAAUGUCGGAGGUUAGUGAAUAAUUACUUGCGGAGAGAUGCGUUCGAGCUUUUACUGUGUCUCGGGAGUAGCGACACGAUGCAGGUUUGUCGGUGCAAGCGUUUCGUCGGUUUGGAAGGGGUACGAGGUUAGUGGGAAUUCUAACGACUCUAGCUUAACUUAAUUAAGCGGUUUUUUCUAUGGGGAAGGUGAUUUGGUCGUGCUGCAUGUUGGUUGGUUGGAUUCUGGCAGCGUUUCAUUAAUGCCUGCUCUGUCAGACCGUCGGCGGAGUUCCCGUCCUCAAAUCAGUUCAGUUCGCCAAAACGCUCCUCUUCCUUUCCCACAAUUACCACCUCGUCUGCCUUAUCCAACGCACUCCGUUCCGUUUUGAGACAUGCAGUUAGUUAGUUGGAGACGACGGUUCGGUAGGUUCUGCAGAGAUUUGUGCCGAUGGGCAUCCAGACAAUGCCUUCUUUUGG